CUUUUAUUUAUUUUAUAUUUAAUUUGAUAUGUAUUUAAUUUUUAUUUUUUAAAUCUUAUAUGUUGUAUAUUAUUUCUACAGCACAAUUUUGAUAUCGAGGAGAUUGAUAUCCUACAUGUGAGGGAGACUAUCCUUAGGCAUAUGGAGAGAUUGCUUAAGGGAUUCAGAUAUGAGAUCCAUAGCCAUUGAAAGGAGCUCUUC
rnacentral:lncRNA from 1 species